CACGUAGGGAGCAAGCGUUGUCCGGAUUUAUUGGGCGUAAAGAGCUCGUAGGUGGUUCGGUAAGUCAGGUGUGAAACCUCCAGGCUCAACCUGGAGACGCCACUUGAUACUGCUGUGACUGGAGUCCGGUAGGGGAGCGUGGAAUUCCUGGUGUAGCGGUGAAAUGCGCAGAGUAUCAGGAGGAACACCGGUGGCGAAGGCGGGUCUCUGGGCCGAGUGACUGACGCUGAGGAGCGAAAGCGUGGGGAGCGAACGGG
rnacentral:rRNA from 1 species